UUUUGUUAAUUAUAUAACAGGACUGUUGCGGCUAAUUUACUUAUGAUGUCAAACGUAUAUUGAAAAUUUUGAAAGUCAAAUAAAUAAUAUAGCAAACAGUUGAAAUGUCUGCUUUGAUUUAGCACAUUAACUUCAAUCACGCAUUUCACAUUCUGACGCAUCAUAUUUUACUGAACAUAACACUUGACGACGUGAUGAUUUGAUUCAGCAGGGGUGUACAAAAUUACUGGAAAAUGCAGGAUUUUUGACAAAAUGAAGAGAACUUAAUUUGUUUCCACGCCUGCGCUAUCUUAUAAAGCCAAGGGUGUUAUACUUAUGUCUUAAUAUAUAUGUACAUAUGUAUAAAUAAAACAUUUAAAAUUCAUUAGUAUACAAGUAAACAGAUCAAAAACAAAAACCCGUUUGCUAAAUUUCAUAUCAUAUUAAAUCUUCGUAAUACUCACUUUAUGACAAAUCGAACUUCAAAUAUUUCUAUACAUAUAUAUGUAUGUAUUUUUAUAUUUACUAAAAUGCUAAUGGCCUUUUUAACUAUGACAAUCUAAGUGGACAGAGGAAGAAAACUAUUCCAAACGGCAUCGGUCUCGUGACGCAGUUUUUGCAAAUACUAUACGAUACAGCUUCAGAAAAUACAGUUCAUUUACCCGGUUUUAAAAAAUAUAUUUAUCUAUCGCGUGAAAAAUUCUCGCUUUACGUUUCACAAAAUUACUAUGCACAAUAGUUCAAAAUUUUACAAUUCUAAGCUGAAAUUAAGCUCGCUAUUAUUUUGCCAAACACAACUUCCUAUCACUUCGCAAA